CAGGUAGGGACAUUUGGUCAAACGUCCAAUGGCGUAAAGCUACCAUCCAAGGGAUUACGACUGAAUGCCUCUAAGUUG